rnacentral:rRNA from 1 species
AAUGGCCUACGGGGGGCAGCAGUGGGGAAUAUUGGGCAAUGGAGGAAACUCUUACCCAGCAAUGCCGCGUGAGUGAAGAAGGUCUUCGGAUUGUAAAGCUCUUUGAUUGGGGAUGAAAAAAUGACGGUACCCAAAGAACAAGCCCCGGCUAACUACGUGCCAGCAGCCGCGGUAAUACGUAGGUGGCAAGCGUUAUCCGGAUUUACUGGGUGUAAAGGGCGUGUAGGCGGGAAAGCAAGUCAGAUGUGAAAACCAUGGGCUCAACCUGUGGCCUGCAUUUGAAACUGUUUUUCUUGA